AUCGGGCGAGUGCUGUCAAUGUGACACGUCCAGCUGUAGGCGUAGUAAGUCGAGAUCCUCGGAGGUAUCCUACCGGAUAGGUCCAAGUGGACGAUACUCUGAUUCACGAGUCUGAUAGCACGAGUCUGAUAGCACAAGUUCCGAAAGCCUAAAGAGCUCGGAAUCACGCACUCACUUUUCUGUUUCUCCUUUCGGAGCACUCAGUUUUUUCAUUAGCACGCGAGUCCUCUCUCAAUUGUUUCCGAUCAUAAUAUCGUCGUCCUCACGCGAUCAAAAGUUUCUCGAUCCUCGCGCAGGGUCGCGAGAUAAUCAACGACGGAUUUUCGAGCUUGCGAAAGCUCCUCCUUGUCGGCGAUUCUACGGACUGGUUAGUCGACUAGCGACGUGCAUUCAUUAAUAUAUAUGAUAAUCAUCCAAUACGUAUACGAUGCCUCUCGAUGAUUGCUCUCGUCUCCAUUAUCUUUAUCGUCGUCAUCGUCGUGAUCAUUGCAAAAGCCAACGACGACGGCGCCACGCAAAACACCAUCGUAAAUAUGAACGAGAUCGUUCGCGAUCGAUAAGAUGAAUGAAACCGAGGUUGAAAAACACAGAGAAGGUAUACAGUGGCACUACGAUAUCACUCGCGAUCGGAACUCGGUUUAAUCUCGUUCAUCCAGCGAUAUGGAAAUCGCGAUAGAAAAUCGCGCGCUUGAUUUUAUUCACGAUAAUAAAAUCUUUCCUUCCUCUUUGCACCGUUUGACGCACUUUUCUCUACCUCGACACCGUCACUCUCCGUGUCUCGGCGCGUUUUCACGUAUCUUUGGUCAUUUCGUUAUCGCGCCUCCACCUUCGCCGUCCACCUCAUCCUCCGUCUUUCCUCCUUUUCUUCUUCUUUUCCUCCACCGCCGUCGUCUUCGCCUUUUCCUCCUUCCUCCUCCUCCUCCUCCUCCUCCUCGUCCGCCUCUUCCUCUUCCACCUCCAGUUUCUCCACCUUCGACCAGCGGAGGCAAGUCGUCGCUCUCUCUCUCUCUCUCUCUCUGUUGUCCUCUUCUUCUCUUUCCUCUUUCUCCUUUUUUUCCUCCGCUUCGUCCUCUGGUCCCGCACGAUCAAACAACCACCACCGUCACCAACAACACACUUAGUUCCGCCGCAGUGCUACGAGCGGAGGUGUCGUCACGCGCGUCGACUAAUUUUCGGACGAACUUUCCGGUUCGGUGUCUUGUAUUGGACUGUGCAGAAGUGGCACCUUCCAGUUUCUGAACUUACAUCUUGUCAGAUAAAAUAUUCGAGAAGUAUUCGAAAAGAAGAGGAUCGAUGCUCUGAUAAUAUCGACGAUUCCUGUCUAUAUACGCAUCGCAUCCGUGUAUCGCGUUACGCAUCGGAUCAAAAUAUCAAAGGAUGAGAUGAAAGAGAGGAGGAAGAAAAAAAUCAAGAAUCACCGCCGUUGCGCUGCGUUCGUAUGCGGACAAGAGCUAAGGACCUCUCAUUACAAAUCCCGUGUGGAGUAUUUGAUUACCGACGACGAUAACAAAUUUCAGUAAUGCGCGCUGAGAACGAGGAGAUAAUUAAUAUCAUCGAACGUGUCUCGCGUAUGAAAUACCCUUUGCUAACUAAAGAGGUGGACGUUUAAAUAAGGCGGUGGAGGAGAGAAAGAGAGGAAACCGUGCUGGCGACGUACGCGAAGAUGUAAUCCAAUGUGACACUGAAGCGGAAAGUAACGUCCCGAGGCAAUGUAACGUCGACAGAGUGUACGUGAUGAACGAGCGCUCGCCGUGAAUCAUUUUAUGAGUUUUAUAAUAUUGGCCAGGUUUAUAUAGUCUGCAUCAAGAGUCACGCACUUUCACCGUGCCAAUAUGAAAAGAAUGAUGGUUUGUUUAAAUAUUACAACCGAUUCAUAAUUAAACGAUGUUUAGUGUGUGAAAUAAUAUACACAUAUAACGAAAAAAAAAAAAAAAAAAACAUUUUAAUUUUUAAAUAAAUUUAACUAAAUUUAGUUUUAGACGUCGAUAAAACGAUGAAUAUAAAGAGAGAUAUAAAACGGUAUACCUGUUAAAUGCCAUCAUUGGAUUCGGAGACACAGGUUCCUGCAGCGAUCCGCCAUAAAAUCGCAUACGGGAAUCGCCGCUAAAAAUUCCAGAUACACGCGGUUUCACUGAUGUAAGGAGCGGCCACGAGCUGAAAAGGGUUAAAGCGGGGAGGAAGGCGGAGAGAAGUAGUCGGAUGUAGAAGGCCGCGAAAACGAUGUCAGCACGAAGAAACGCAAUGCAAGACAAACGGGGGCGGGCGGGGGCCGAAAAAGAGUGUAAGGCUGGUUCGCGCGCGCGCACGCGGUUUUCUCCUUGGCCUCUGGAUCGUGAUCGUUGCCAUCGGAUGCAAGUCCAGCCGAGCAGGCAGCCGCAUCGCGCCGGUAGCCUCAAGGGGCAGAAAAACGAAAAAGAAAAGAAAAAAAAAGAAAAAAAAAAAAAACACGCACAAAGCCGACGCCACUCAUGGCGAGCGGAUUUUUAUAUCGAGCAUGCAAGGAGCUGCGUGCGUAAUGCGUGUGCAUGAUGACUCGUUCUCCUGUAAUAAAAUAGAUUAUAUGGUAUUUAGUCCUGCAUAGAUUACCCUGCAUAGAUAAUACGUAAAAACUAGAAGAUAAUGAGAUUCUUUUGAUGCAGAUUUUUUUUAUUAAAGGAAAUUUUUUAUUGAAGGAAAUGGUAUAAAAGAUUAAUGAAAUAAUAAAUUGAAAUUAUCCAAAG